rnacentral:rRNA from 1 species
GCAAGAUAGUGAUAUUAAGCAAAACCCAAAAAGCAGUCUCAGUUCGGAUUGAAGGCUGAAAUUCGCCUUCAUGAAGCCGGAAUUGCUAGUAAUGGCAGGUCAGCAUACUGCCGUGAAUACGUUCCCGGGCCUUGUACACACCGCCCGUCACACCAUGGGAGUCGAUAACGCCCGAAGUCAGUGACCCAACCUGUAAGGAGGGAGCUGCCGAAGGCGGGAUUGAUAACUGGGGUGAAGUCGUAACAAGGUAUC